rnacentral:rRNA from 1 species
GACGAACGCUGGCGGCGUGCUUAACACAUGCAAGUCGAACGGAAAGGCCCUGCUUUUGUGGGGUGCUCGAGUGGCGAACGGGUGAGUAACACGUGAGUAACCUGCCCUUGACUUUGGGAUAACUUCAGGAAACUGGGGCUAAUACCGGAUAGGAGCUCCUGCUGCAUGGUGGGGGUUGGAAAGUUUCGGCGGUUGGGGAUGGACUCGCGGCUUAUCAGCUUGUUGGUGGGGUAGUGGCUUACCAAGGCUUUGACGGGUAGCCGGCCUGAGAGGGUGACCGGGGAGAGUGGGACUGAGAUACGGCCCAGACUCCUACGGGAGGCAGCAGUGGGGAAUAUUGCACAAUGGGCGGAAGCCUGAUGCAGCAACGCCGCGUGCGGGAUGACGGCCUUCGGGUUGUAAACCGCUUUCGCCUGUGACGAAGCGUGAGUGACGGUAAUGGGUAAAGAAGCACCGGCUAACUACGUG